CAAAGUUGGAGGGAAGCUUCAACAUCUGUCAUCUGAAGUCUCGUUGGUUGCUACAUUAACCAGAGUUCUGAAGGCUUCCUCCAAUGUUCUUUUCAUAAUAUCACAUGGACUAUCCUUGCUUUGUCUUAUUGUUAUUUCGAGUCAUCUCUCCUUCCUGACUCUCUCCACUUCCACUUUGGCUUGAGCAGCAACUGUUGGAAAAAGACUGAACAAUGGACCAAGUUAGUGGAGUGAGGAGGACAAGUACUCAGAGGAAGGACAAGUACUCAGAGACACUGAAACGGAAAGACCUGGCAUGGAAUGAAGGAAGCGAAAGCAAGAAGGUAGGAGAAAGAGAGAAACUACUAUUCUGGAUCUAAUUCAGACCGACAAGGAGGAUCAGCUAUAGUUGCUGAAGUAGAAACCACAGGAGCCUUGGGGACAAAUGCCAUUCCAUCAUAAAAUUCCUGGUAGAUAAAGAGAGGAGUGCUGUGCAUCGACUAACAUGAAAUCUUGAAUUUGGUAACAGAAAUUUCAAAGGGCUCAGGAAAAGAUGACACAAAGCUGGAAAGAUCACUAACUUGGAAAUCAGAAUCAGGAUCUUGAGAGAUUAGAGCAACAGGCA